rnacentral:rRNA from 1 species
UACAGAGGUGGCAAGCGUUGUUCGGAAUUACUGGGCGUAAAGGGCUCGUAGGCGGCCAACUAAGUCAGACGUGAAAUCCCUCGGCUUAACCGGGGAACUGCGUCUGAUACUGGAUGGCUAGAGGUUGGGAGAGGGAUGCGGUAUUCCAGGUGUAGCGGUGAAAUGCGUAGAUAUCUGGAGGAACACCGGUGGCGAAGGCGGCGUCCUGGACCAACACUGACACUGAGGAGCGAAAGCCAGGGGAGCAAACGGG